rnacentral:SRP_RNA from 1 species
GCCCCGCGCGGUGGCUCGUGCCUGUAGUCCCAGCUACUCGCGAGGCUGAGGUGGGAGAAUCGCUUGAGCCCAGGAGUUCCGGGCUGUAGUGCGCCAUGCCAAUCGGGUGUCCACACUAAGUUCGGCAUCAAUAUGGCGACCUCCCGGGAGCGGGGGACCACCAGGUUGCCUAAGGAGGGGUGAACUGGCCCCAGUCGGAAACGGAGCAGGUCAAAACUCCCGUGCUGAUCAGUAGUGGGAUCGCGCCUGUGAAUAUAGCCACUGCACUCCAGCCUAGGCAACACAGUGAGACCCGGCUCUU